GGGUGGAAAUCAAAACAAAAACAAAAAAAAUCAAAACAUCUCUCCCCCUCUCUCUCACGUCUCCCUCUCUCUCUUUACCCCUCUUCUCCAAACUUCAUCUCCCACAAUUCCUCCACAAAACCCACAUCAAAAACCUUCAAUCCUUGCUCCUCCAAGCUUUAAUUUCGUGGGUCUAGCUCGGUGGGAGUUGGUUCGCCUCGGUUUCGGAGUAUUUCAAGAUCUAGGGCUCGAUUGGCUCGGGGGAAGUUCAUACGACCUUGAGGUACAAAUCAAGGAAACUGGUUCUUGUUGCAUGGAGUGUAUGCCUGCAAAGAAAAGGCAUCUUUUGUGAACUUAUUGGACGGUUAUUUAUACAUCUACACUUAUAGUCUUUUGGGAAUUGUGUAGAUGGCUCUGUAACCGUAUUUUGACGUUUACUUUUGACAUUGGAAGAAUGUAAUUAACUUUGUUAUUUCCACCCGUUAACCUUGAUACUUGAAUUUUCUCCAACUUAUGCUAAACUCAAAGGAUCUUUUGGUCA